AACUUUUUUUAGGGAAAAAACACUUUCUCACGGCCGGUGACAGCGAAACGAAUAACAGUCUUCAGUACCUGCUGGUCUUUGAAGCUCUGGAUUUUGGGACUGUUGGAAAAGGUAAAACGUUUUCAUUAAAACCUUUUUACUGUUUUGUUUUUGUUACUCGUCAUUGUAGCUUGCUGUUAAUGCUGUGCUAACAAUAACAGUUAGCUAUGUUAGAUACGUUAGCCGUUGACGUUAACGCAAUUUAGUAUCGGUAUACAGAAACUGUUUUCCUAACAAAACCACUGUUAUAAUUAAGUGAAGGUGCUCCCAACUAAUUGGCUUCUAAAAUAUGUGGUUCUAUUGCGUGCUGCGUACAUAACGUAAUGUCAACUAGACUGAUUAAAUUUAUAAUAUUGUUAAAGUCACUAAUAUGGCGCCUGAAGCCUGUUGUGAUGUGAGCUGUGUGUCUGCUCUAGAAACUCUGAAAUUCAGUAGAUCUGAGCCGUACAUUAAAUACUCACAUCAGCCUGUACUUUGAAUUCUGUAAGAGCAAUGCAUAAGUGUUUUGAAUGAAUAGAAAUGUGACACAUUAGAAGAUGUGUCUGUGACUGUUCCUGUGUAACUAAUUUUCGGACUAGUUAACAAGUUAUGCUCCGGUCAUCUGAUGUUACCAAGAUAGAUGUCCAUUUGUAAUAUAGUUACAUUUUCUUUGUACGUUUCAUUUAUCCACCAUCGUACAUUAAGCCAAGAAGAGAUCAUUAUACUAACAAGAGGUAUCAACACUGGGCCAAAGUUCAGCAUGUGGUUAAAGUUUGUAAUCCAGCCAGGGUGUGAAUAUCACUCAGCAGCCAGUCAUAGAGCUGAAGCAGGUAACAUCAACACAUAAAUCUACUCUACCUGGCUUAAAUCACAAGACCACCUCUGACCGAAAAGCUGUAGAUUUUUCUUGUUUGCACAAAUUAAUUCAGAUUCACACUAAUUCUUUUCACAGCUCCAACAAAAUGAGGACGAGGAGGGGGAGAAAAACAAUUAGACUGAAUUACAAUUGGCUGGAAGUCGAGGACAAGGAGAAGGAAGCUUAGGAUGAGGAGGAAGGAAAGCAGCAGGAGCAUCUUUGGGGAUCUCUAUGAUGUCAUUGAGAGGCGGCGGCGAGAGGGGAGACCUCGGCUCAUCCAGCUGGACAGCCUGACCAGGAGGAGUCUACAUUAACUUGGCUCUUCCAGGGCACCCUGCAGACUCGGCUGCUGGCAACACCGGGAUGACGUGAACGCCAAACAGGAGUCCAUCACAGGUCGACUGCAGCUCCUCGUCUCAGAGUGGGAGGGAUUUGAAGCACAAAGGGAGGAGCUUGUCGUUUGGUUGGCUGAUAUGGAUGUCCACCUGAGUGAGGUUGACCAGCUGACAGGAAACACCUGUGAAAAACUGAAACAACUGCAGGUGUGGGGUUGUUUUGAUAUGACAUAUAUUUGAUAUGAUACAUACGUCAGAGACAUUAUCCUAAA